GAUGAACGCUAGCGGCAGGCUUAACACAUGCAAGUCGAGGGGCAGCAUGAAGGUUAGCAAUAACUUUUGAUGGCGACCGGCGCACGGGUGAGUAACACGUAUGCAACCUGCCCUUGUCAGGGGGAUAAGCGGGGGAAACCCCGUCUAAUACCGCAUAUAUGGUUUGGAGGCAUCUCUAAAUCAGGAAAGAAUUAUCGGACAAGGAUGGGCAUGCGGGACAUUAGGUAGUUGGGGGUGUAACGGACCACCAAGCCGACGAUGUCUAGGGGUUCUGAGAGGAAGGUCCCCCACACUGGUACUGAGACACGGCCCAGACUCCUACGGGAGGCAGCAGUAGGGAAUAUUGCACAAUGGAGGAAACUCUGAUGCAGCCAUGCCGCGUGUGUGAAGAAGGCC
rnacentral:rRNA from 1 species